CCUACGGGCGGCAGCAGUGAGGAAUAUUGGUCAAUGGACGAGAGUCUGAACCAGCCAAGUAGCGUGCAGGUUGACUGCCCUAUGGGUUGUAAACUUCUUUUAUAUGGGAAUAAAAUGUUCCACGUGUGGGAUUUUGUAUGUACCCUAUGAAUAAGGAUCGGCUAACUACGUGCCAGCAGCCGCGGUAAUACGGAGGAUCCGAGCGUUAUCCGGAUUUAUUGGGUUUAAAGGGAGCGUAGGUGGAUUGUUAAGUCAGUUGUGAAAGUUUGCGGCUCAACCGUAAAAUUGCAGUUGAAACUGGCAGUCUUGAGUACAGUAGAGGUGGGCGGAAUUCGUGGUGUAGCGGUGAAAUGCUUAGAUAUCACGAAGAACUCCGAUUGCGAAGGCAGUUCACUGGACUGCAACUGACACUGAGGCUCGAAAGUGUGGGUAUCAAACAGGAUUAGAUACCCGAGUAGUC
rnacentral:rRNA from 1 species